GGGUGAGUAACACGUGGAUAACCUGCCCUUGAAUGGGGAAUAACUUCGGGAAACCGGAGCUAAUACCGCAUACGAUCUGAAGAAGAUGAAAGCCUUCGGCGUUCGAGGAGGGAUCCGCGGCCGAUUAGCUUGUUGGUAGGGUAACGGCCUACCAAGGCGUCGAUCGGUAGCCGGCCUGAGAGGGUGAACGGCCACACUGGCACUGAGACACGGGCCAGACUCCUACGGGAGGCAGCAGUGGGGAAUCUUGGACAAUGGGGGAAACCCUGAUCCAGCGACGCCGCGUGACCGAUGAAGCCUUUCGGGGUGUAAAGGUCUUUCGGCGGGGACAAUGAUGGUACCCGCAUAAGCAGCUGCGGCUAACUACGUGCCAGCAGCCGCGGUAAUACGUAGGCAGCAAGCGUUGUUCGGAAUUACUGGGCGUAAAGCGAGUGUAGGCGGCCGGCCGUGUCCGUUGUGAAAUCUCCCGGCUUAACUGGGAGG
rnacentral:rRNA from 1 species